rnacentral:rRNA from 1 species
GGGAACUGCAUCUGAAACUGUAGAGCUAGAGUAUGUGAGAGGAAGGUAGAAUUCCAGGUGUAGCGGUGAAAUGCGUAGAGAUCUGGAGGAAUACCGAUGGCGAAGGCAGCUUCUGGCAUAAUACUGACACUGAGGCUCGAAAGCGUGGGUAGCAAACAGGAUUAGAUACCCUGGUAGUCCACGCCGUAAACGAUGUCUACUAGUCGUUGGGUCCCUUGAGGACUUAGUGACGCAGCUAACGCAAUAAGUAGACCGCCAGGGGAGUACGGCCGCAAGGUUAAAACUCAAAUGAAUUGACGGGGGCCCGCACAAGCGGUGGAGCAUGUGGUUUAAUUCGAUGCAACGCGAAGAACCUUACCUGGUCUUGACAUAUCUAGAAUCCUGCAGAGAUGCGGGAGUGCCUUCGGGAAUUAGAAUACAGGUGCUGCAUGGCUGUCGUCAGCUCGUGUCGUGAGAUGUUGGGUUAAGUUCCGCAACGAGCGCAACCCUUGUCCUUAGUUACCAGCGGGUUAAGCCGGGAACUCUAAGGAUACUGCCAGUGACAAACUGGAGGAAGGCGGGGACGACGUCAAGUCAUCAUGGCCCUUACGACCAGGGCUACACACGUGCUACAAUGGUAGGUACAGAGGGCAGCUACACAGCGAUGUGAUGCGAAUCUCAAAAAGCCUAUCGUAGUCCAGAUUGGAGUCUGCAACUCGACUCCAUGAAGUAGGAAUCGCUAGUAAUCGCGGAUCAGAAUGCCGCGGUGAAUACGUUCCCGGGCCUUGUACACACCGCCCGUCACACCAUGGGAGUUGAUUGCACCAGAAGUGGAUAGCUUAACCUUCGGGGGAGCGUUCACCACGGUGUGGUUGAUGACUGGGGUGAAGUCGUAACAAGGUAGCCG